GCCGACGUGGUGGAAUUGGUAGACACGCCAUCUUGAGGGGGUGGUGACGCAAGUCGUGCCGGUUCAAAUCCGGCCGCCGGUACCA
rnacentral:tRNA from 1 species